UCGGGAAUUUUGGGCAAUGGGGGAAACCCUGACCCAGCAACGCCGCGUGAAGGAUGAAGUAUUUCGGUAUGUAAACUUCGAAAGAAUAGGAAGAAUAAAUGACGGUACUAUUUAUAAGGUCCGGCUAACUACGUGCCAGCAGCCGCGGUAAUACGUAGGGACCAAGCGUUGUUCGGAUUUACUGGGCGUAAAGGGCGCGUAGGCGGCAAUUCAAGUCAUCUGUGAAAUCUCCGGGCUUAACUCGGAACGGUCAGAUGAUACUGCUUUGCUAGAGUGCAGAAGGGGCAAUCGGAAUUCUUGGUGUAGCGGUGAAAUGCGUAGAUAUCAAGAGGAACACCUGAGGUGAAGACGGGUUGCUGGGCUGACACUGACGCUGAGGCGCGAAAGCCGGGGGAGCAAACGGGAUUAGAUACCCCUGUAGUCCCUGAGCGGGCUGGCAAGGCGCAU
rnacentral:rRNA from 1 species